rnacentral:lncRNA from 1 species
AGGGAUUGUUGAAUAAAUCUUCUUGGAGAAAGUAAUUUCAUGGCCUAUCAGAAGAUAGUCUUUUUUGAGAUUCUUCAUAUUGAAUAGUUUUAACAUGAUAUCGAUGUAUGUGGAUUAAGAUAAUCUAAGCAACCUUCUAGAUCUAUCUCUAUAGAUCUUCAUCCCUAGGAUGUAGUAUACUUCUUUCAAAUUCUUCAUUAAGAACUG